UCGACUACUGUUGAGUCAUCAUCAGGAAUUAUGAAAGCUACUAAAAUUUUACAAUAACUUGUAAAAUUUUAGUAGCUUUCAUAAUUCCUGAUGAUGACUCAACAGUAGUCGA